GAUGAACGCUGGCGGCGUGCCUAACACAUGCAAGUCGAACGGAGUCGUUUUGGAAAUCUCUUCGGAGAUGGAAUUCUCGACUUAGUGGCGGACGGGUGAGUAACGCGUGAGCAAUCUGCCUUUAAGAGGGGGAUAACAGUCGGAAACGGCUGCUAAUACCGCAUAAAGCAUUAAAUUCGCAUGUUUUUGAUGCCAAAGGAGCAAUCCGCUUUUAGAUGAGCUCGCGUCUGAUUAGCUAGUUGGCGGGGUAACGGCCCACCAAGGCGACGAUCAGUAGCCGGACUGAGAGGUUGAACGGCCACAUUGGGACUGAGACCCGGCCCAGACUCCUACGGGAGGCAGCAGUGGGGAAUAUUGCGCAAUGGGGGAAACCCUGACGCAGCAACGCCGCGUGAUUGAAGAAGGCCUUCGGGUUGUAAAGAUCUUUAAUCAGGGACGAAACAAAUGACGGUACCUGAAGAAUAAGCUCCGGCUAACUACGUG
rnacentral:rRNA from 1 species